AAGAAACGACAAUCGAAAAUAUCAUACAGUAAGUAAAGAUAAGUACCUACCUUGGAUCGAAACGCGAUUUGAGAAAACUAAAGCCGACUUCAGGUGUAUAGAGGACAAAACUUAUGCCCAAAGAAUCAAAGGUGUUGCUGCCGUCUUUUUGAAUUACAGUAACCUACUUGAAUUUUGUAUAAUAUUACUGUAAAAAAAAUGCAAUUUUAUCAUAUUUUGUUGAAAUACUUUUUGGUAGAUUGGUUUUUGUAAAUAACUUUGUAUAAUGUUACUGUAAAAAAAUGUAAAACUUUUUGUAGA